rfam:Fungal sp. No.14919 DNA, contig: Contig0091.
GUUGUCAUAGUAUAGUGGUCAGUACAGCACGUUGUGGCCGUGCAGACAAGAGUUCGAUUCUCUUUGACGACA